UACGGAGGGUGCAAGCGUUAUCCGGAAUCACUGGGUUUAAAGGGUGCGUAGGCGGUUAUGUAAGUCAGGGGUGAAAGGUCACAGCUUAACUGUGAGAUUGCCUUUGAAACUGUGUAACUUGAAUCAGAUAGAGGUUAGUGGAAUGCGACAUGUAGCGGUGAAAUGCAUAGAUAUGUCGUGGAAUACCGAUUGCGAAGGCAGCUAACUGGGUCUUGAUUGACGCUGAGGCACGAAAGCGUGGGGAGCGAACAGGAUUA
rnacentral:rRNA from 1 species